GAGGUUAUAUCAGGUGCUUGAGUGUAUGUGCAAUUGGAGUGGCUGCAAUAUUUAAAGUACAGGUUUCAAAACAGAACGCAGUGAACGUCCUUCUUUAGUGAGUUCUCGUGUUACACACAUACAUGGCAGUGGAACAGCCUCCUCUCUUCUCUCUACAGCAUUAUAGCUACAUUUCUUCAGGUGGUCAGCCAUGCUUACGAUGUCAGCAAACUUCCACUCAUUCACAGUACAGAAGGCUGUACUGAACCGCCAAACCUUUUCUUUUAUUUGCCAAGAAGAACUUCCAUCUGGGUACUUUCUCUUCUCCCAAAGCAGAAUCA
rnacentral:lncRNA from 1 species